rnacentral:rRNA from 1 species
CGUGAGCAACCUACCUUCAGAGGGGGACGAACAGUUGGAAACGACUGCUAAUACCGCAUGACACAAUCGGGAGGCAUCUCCUGGUUGUCAAAGAUUUAUCGCUGAAAGAUGGGCUCGCGUCUGAUUAGAUAGUUGGUGGGGUAACGGCCUACCAAGUCGACGAUCAGUAGCCGGACUGAGAGGUUGAACGGCCACAUUGGAACUGAGAUACGGUCCAGACUCCUACGGGAGGCAGCAGUGGGGAAUAUUGGGGCAAUGGGCGAAAGCCUGACCCAGCGACGCCGCGUGAGGGAAGAAGGUCUUCGGAUUGUAAACCUUAGUCAACAGGGAAGAAGAAAGUGACGGUACCUGUGGAGGAAGCCACGGCUAACUACGUG